GGGCCGAGGACCGACUGUGUUAAAAGGCAGAGCCUCGACCGCGUCGCGGAGCGGGUAUCUCCUCGAUCCGUAUUCUUCGUACUGUUGAUGAGGGACGGAUCCCUCGACAGAAUUGUCUAUCGUCGGCGGAUUCUCGACGCGUCCACUUUGAAACGAAGACAAAUCGAUUGUCUCGUUCGGACUUUUAUUCGAAGGUGGAGGCAGCGGUGGCGGUAGCAGCUCACGAGUCGAUAUGCGGUGAGAGGGUCCUGCGGCCGUUAGGCCUACCAGGAUCAGAACAAGCACCGGUAUCAUCUGCGGUUAGAGAAAACUGAAAGUCUAAAUUGAAUAAAUAAUUUAAUCAGCGUUGAUCGAGUGAACAAAACCAAUGAAGGAGCAAAUGCAGCACGACGUUAGCGAUAUUGUGUUGGGACAGACUCAAUUAAGCUGGACAACGAACUAUCCGGACAAGUAUAAACGAACAAGAGAUUAACUUGCUAGCCGGAGUAAUAAACGUGCAGAUAAUUAAUUGUCCGGUGGAUGGUGGCCAGUGGCCAGUGGCGAACGAAGAAACUUAAGACAAGUCCUGUCUUGUCGCGAAGAACACACGAGCGUGUAAUCGCUGAACCGGAAAUAAAAAUACGGAACAAGA